UGAGCAAUCUGCCCUUCUCUUCGGAAUAAGCGUGGGAAACCGUGUCUAAUGCCGAAUACGACCUCCUUUCGCAUGAUCGGAGGUGGAAAGCUCCGGCGGAGAAGGAUGAGCUCGCGGCCUAUCAGCUAGUUGGUGUGGGUAAUGGCCCACCAAGGCGACGACGGGUAGCCGGCCUGAGAGGGUGACCGGCCACACGUGGGACUGAGACACGGCCCAGACCUCCGUACGGGAGGNAGCG
rnacentral:rRNA from 1 species